UACGUAGGGGCCGAGCGUUGUCCGGAAUUAUUGGGCGUAAAGAGCUCGUAGGCGGUUUGUCGCGUCUGCUGUGAAAUCCCGAGGCUCAACCUCGGGUCUGCAGUGGGUACGGGCAGACUGGAGUGCGGUAGGGGAGAAUGGAAUUCCUGGUGUAGCGGUGGAAUGCGCAGAUAUCAGGAGGAACACCGAUGGCGAAGGCAGUUCUCUGGGCCGUAACUGACGCUGAGGAGCGAAAGCGUGGGGAGCGAACAGG
rnacentral:rRNA from 1 species